UAGGGAAUCUUGGACAAUGGGCGAAAGCCUGAUCCAGCCAUGCCGCGUGAGUGAUGAAGGCCUUAGGGUUGUAAAGCUCUUUCGCCAGGGAAGAUAAUGACGGUACCUGGAUAAGAAGCCCCGGCUAACUUCGUGCCGGCAGCCGCGGUAAUACGAAGGGGGCUAGCGUUGUUCGGAAUUACUGGGCGUAAAGCGCACGUAGGCGGCUUUCCAAGUUGGAGGUGAAAUCCCCGGGCUUAACCCGGGAACUGCCUCCAAAACUGAAAGGCUAGAGUCCGAGAGAGGUGAGUGGAAUUUCCAGUGUAGAGGUGAAAUUCGUAGAUAUUGGAAAGAACACCAGUGGCGAAGGCGGCUCACUGGCUCGGUACUGACGCUGAGGUGCGACAGCGUGGGGAGCAAACA
rnacentral:rRNA from 1 species